rnacentral:rRNA from 1 species
AGCGCGUGUAGGCGGAACAUUAAGUCNGAGGUGAAAGCCCGGGGCUCAACCCCGGAACUGCCUUUGAAACUGGUGUUCUAGAAUCAGAUAGAGGGUGGUGGAAUUCUUAGUGUAGAGGUGAAAUUCGUAGAUAUUAAGAGGAACACCAGAGGCGAAGGCGACCACCUGGGUCUGUAUUGACGCUGAGACGCGAAAGCGUGGGGAGCGAACGGGAUUAGAUACCCCGGUAGUCCACGCCGUAAACGAUGUGUGUUAGAUGUUGGAGUUUAUACUUCAGUGUCACAGCUAACGCGUUAAACACACCGCCUGGGGAGUACGGUCGCAAGAUUAAAACUCAAAGGAAUUGACGGGGACCCGCACAAGCGGUGGAGCAUGUGGUUUAAUUCGAUGCUACGCGAAGAACCUUACCACCCUUUGACAUCUUGGUCGCGAAUCUUGUAAUAGAGAUUUUUCAGUUCGGCUGGACCAAUGACAGGUGUUGCAUGGCUGUCGUCAGCUCGUGUCGUGAGAUGUUGGGUUAAGUCCCGCAACGAGCGCAACCCUCAUCCUUAGUUGCCAGCGGGUUAUGCCGGGAACUCUAGGG